rnacentral:lncRNA from 1 species
CAAGAUGAGGACAAAUAUCCGUCAAAUAUAUUAAUUCUUUUUGAAAUAAUUCGUUUUACCAAAUAUUUCUGCAGUGUUUUCUCUAAACCUUACACAGCGGUGCUUGUUCUACACAAUGUUCUUGUGCAAGAUGUCACAGCUAACAGCAGUUUCCUGAUUCAAUAAAAUGGAACAGUUUGAUAAAAGUUAGCUGACAUGGAGGACUGAAAGCAAACUGAAUAUUGCAAGAUUACCUGCAUCAUGACGAUUGGCUCCGGGUGACAACAUGCCGACUUCAUGACUUGCUCAAUGCUCUGAGAACACUGUAGAAACUAAGAUGUGACAUGAACAGCUGCAACGGAGACUACGAAGCUGUGGCCACUUGGAAGGGGCAGGCGUUUUGAUUGCAUCUGCACGCUAGAAUUCAUUCCCACAUAUUUGAAAAGGGUCUGAGGCUCAAUUCAGACGCUUAUGUGAAGUCGCUGGAGAUUGUGGUCAAAGUCUGGCUGAAGAGGGUUACUACUUGAAGGUCAUAUGUCUGGCAACAGGAAUCGGCUCUUUGCCAUACCUCUGGAAAGAGUCAGAAGUAGUUGUCGGAGAAUUUCUUCAACUUCACCAAACCCAAUUUCUGACCUCCUAAUUUCCUAGAUUGCAAUCCCAUGGAUUACUGUGUGGGUCACAUUUGAGAAAGACACCAACCAUUUGCCGGUGGUUAAUAUCAAGGAGGUGUUCAAAGAUCUUCCCAGGCACACAAUGAGAAACACAUGCACCAGGUUCCGGAGCCGUCUUGAGGCCAUGGUGGAAGGUGAGUGGGGGGCUACUUCGAGUAGCCAUAAUCUAGUUGAUAUGUUUGGAGUUUUAAAAUACAGUAGUAUCUCGGUUUACGAACACCUCUGAUCACGAAUAAA